CCUACGGGAGGCAGCAGUGAGGAAUAUUGGUCAAUGGGCACUAGCCUGAACCAGCCAAGUAGCGUGAAGGAUGACUGCCCUAUGGGUUGUAAACUUCUUUUAUAUGGGAAUAAAGUGCAGUAUGUAUACUGCUUUGCAUGUACAUUAUGAAUAAGGAUCGGCUAACUCCGUGCCAGCAGCCGCGGUAAGACGGAGGAUCCGAGCGUUAUCCGGAUGUAUAGGGUUGAAAGGGAGCGUAGGCGGGUUGUUAAGUCAGUGGUGAAAGGUUGCGGCUCAAACGUAAAAUUGCAGUUGAUACUGGCAUCCUUGAUUACAGUAUAGGUAGGCGGAAUUCGUGGUGUAGCGGU
rnacentral:rRNA from 1 species